UUCCUCAGCUCGGCUCGGGCUGCGCGCUGCUACCGGGAGGGAUGGACUGCUUGGUGUGCCUGGCCUAUCCCUGAAUGUAAGAAAGCAAAAUUAUCCCCCCCCAGGUACCGAGGAGGCUUUCUUCUUUUAACCCUGAGCACUCUCACAAGGGUCUUCCCACGAGACUGUAGGGAACUUAGCAGGUAAAUCUGCACGAGUGAAGGCCCCCAGGUGUCUGCGUGUCGGCAGGGCUGUACUCCACAUCCAUUUGGCAGUGCUUCGAUUCUUGGAAUGCCACAGGUUUUGGGCAGCUGCUGACCUCCUCAACGCAAUUAAACAAGAAGUUUUGUGUUCCAGCUGACUUCCUCCAAGAGAGCUGCCAAUGUGCUUUUUCAUCAGGACUACGUGAAACACCUGAGUUCACUGGGACUGCAGGAAAACUGUCUCAGAGACAAAGAUACACAGCCUCCCUGGAUUGCUGGCUACAUGCCUGAUCUGAGGCAGGACCUAGGAAUCUUUUCCUGAAAUUAACGCGAAUUCAGGAGGUUUGUGUUUUAAGAACUGCACCCAGUCCUGUGAAAGCAGAGGAGAUGGAGUAAAAGGACAUAGUGUUGCUGUAAGAGCACACACAGCCUGAUCACACACCAACGUGCUCCACAUCAUGCUCAGGGGAUCACAUCCAGCCCUGAAUCGCAGAACUGGCACCUUGGGAAGUGCUCAGCUGUGAAAACUGACUGGCAGGACAGCUUUGCCAUGUGAAAAAAAAAAAAAAAAAGCUUUGACUUUCUUCUUUUUAAGAGGCUUUGUAAAUGGGAGCAGCUGAAUCGAGUCGCGGGCACAUUCAGCAGAUCGUCAGGGAGUACAAAGGCUGCAGUGCAACCUGUUGGUGCUUUAUGAAGUUGUUUUAGCAUGCUCCGUUGAGCUCUACGCUUACCUGCAUCAGAGAGAGGAACAGAGCGGUAGAAAGACGUUUUGGAGGCUGGCACCAACAGAGGGAAGAAUUAAGUAAGCAGCAAAAUGUGCUGCCCACAUUGCCCCCACCUUGCUCUGUUCCAUGCAGCUCUCUGCUGCUUUUGCAUCUCCCUUCCAUCUGUUCCCCAUGGCCUGCUGAGAGCCACAUCUCCUCUGCUGGCUGCUGCUGCUGUCGCUGCACCCCUUUCUGGCCCUGAUUUCCAAUAGAUAUAACGCUGUUGCAAAGGAUGGAAAAGGCUCAGAGGUGAUGCGAUGGCUCCAGGGGUGCUGACCUAUCCUUGCCCCACGUGGGGCUGCUGAGCAUCGUGCAGCUCUUGGUGCUGCUGCUGUGUGCACUCAGGUGCCAGCUCUGCCAAACCUUCUGCUGUCCUGUCCUCAUACCAUGUGUCCUCAUCAAAAAAAAACAGUGCAGCAAAACACAACAAGCAGUGUUAAAAAUGUGUUGCAGAUGUGGUAGUAACUCCCGGUUGCAAUAGGCAGAUGACUGUUUUUUCCUUGUUUCUGUCCUAAUAUUGGGUCCAGCUGAGACCAGGGUUUUACAUGUAACUACAGUGUCCCUGCCCUGCAGGUCAGGCACUGGUGAAACACAUGUCGGAAGAGAUGAAGAAACUUGUUCGGCAGCACGUGGUGCAGUCAGCGCCCUUCCCGUCUCCCAGAACCCCAACUCAUGGAGGCAGAACCAUCCUGUAGUUCUCUACCACAGAGAUCAUUUUGCUCUCAGACCUUCUGCUGACCCUGAACGACUUUUGUUCUUUGAGAGCUCUUUUAUUUCUCCCUCCUUCUCUCUCUCUCUCCUCUUUUUUUUCUGUUGUUGCUCAUAUUUUCCCCUCUCAUUAAUUAUACAGAUGUGCUGGGGGCCAUGUGCUUUGCCACAUCACAAAGGAAACCACAGGACUUCAGAUCAGAGGAUCUGCCAGAUGUCCUCGCCUGGCAGAGCACCGUGUGAGGGUCCUGGCUACAAGAGCAGGCUUGUCUGCAUCCAUGGGGCACAGCGGGGACAGCACCCAGCAAAGGGGCCACAUAGGAAACAAGCUUAGUGCAAGCACAGAGUAAGAGCUUUGGAUUACUUGAGUUCACUGCUGGGGUCUUUUUUCCCCCUUUAUUUGAGGCACUAACCCCCAGGAUUCCUUAAGACCACAGCUGCUCAUCUGUGCUUUGGUUGAACAUCACCUUAUUUCCUGACGAGCCCUUUACCCCUUGGUGCAGUUUGCAAUUUCAAGUCCAGAACUCAGACCUUCAGGACUGCUCCUGCUUGGGAAAAUGUGCUGUUUGUGUGUGGUUCACUUUGUUCUUAUGUAGUCCAUUCUUUGGAGUGUCAGUAAGAGUUAUUAAAGGCAAUGGCUUUGAAGUGAUCGUUUUCUUCAGGUACCCACUCAGGACCAGGCUGUACGUUGUCUCCUUUGGCAGUGUCUCCAGCAGUCUGCUAGGGAGGCUUUUUCUUUUGAACUUGUAGAAAUGGCAGAGAAAAAUGGUUGGUUUCAUGUUUGGGACUAUGCUUAUUUAUCUUUUCUGCCUUCAGAAGGGUGACUUAAGAUUUAUUUUUUUGCUGAGGGAAAUGGGUCCCAGCAAGGCCUCUGCAAGAAUGGCCUGAGAGUAGAGGUCCCACAUACGGAGGGGCAGGGAGAGGGAAGAAAGCCCCUGUGCUAUUUCUCUCUCUCAAAAGAAACACAAAGAGGAAAGCCAGCCACUACAUAUCCAGCUGUUAUCUCUGAUCUUGCUGCUAUUCUUUAACUAUUUUCUUUCACGUUAUUGAGAUUUGUGAUCAGCAGACACAUGGUUAACACAGGAGUAUAAAGUUUCCUUUCUGUCACUGGUCUCUGGGUCCAGAUUUCCACUCUGGUAAAAGCAGAAAUCGUCAUCAAAAUAACACUUGGGGUUGUGCCCCUGUGCUUCUGGCUCUGGACCAAGUUUAUCCCAAGCUUAGCUGGAUAAUGCUGUAUUCAAACAUCACCAACAGACACCCAGUGUGUAGGAGGUCUUUGACACAGGACUGAAGGAUCCAUAGCAAUUCAGGCAUCCUUGGAAACUGUGCUCUCCUUCCCCUUAAGGCUGAUGACUUUGUCCUUAGUUAUAUUUGUCCAAGGUUUCCAUUAAACAGAUUAUAAUUCCAAAUUCUUAACUUUUAAGGUAAAUGGGAAUGGCUCAUGGCAAAUGGAUUUGCAAACCCAACUAAUGCAUGUAAAUACAGGAUACCAAUUUCAACUAUUUGAUACAUUCGCUCUGCCCAAAACAAGUUAAAACGAACGUGAAAUUUCAAUAGUCAAAAAAGCAAGGUGCAAAAUACGUGGCUAUUAUUGUUUUAUAACUGUCUACAAGCGUUCCACAAUUUUUGAGUGAGUGGAAAAUGGGUAUCUGGGUUAGUUUCUUGCUGCUCUUGGAUAUUCCAUUAGUGUCUUUUGCUGCUGAACACAGGAUAAAUAAAGAUCAAUCCCCUAUCGUCCC
ensembl:lncRNA